AUCUAUAUAAUAUAAAAAGUAUAUUUGACUUCCAAUCAUAAAGUCUAUAAAUUAUAGUAUAGAUA
rnacentral:tRNA from 1 species